UACGUAGGGGGCAAGCGUUGUCCGGAAUCAUUGGGCGUAAAGAGCGUGUAGGCGGCCAGGUAGGUCCGUUGUGAAAACUCGAGGCUCAACCUCGAGACGUCGACGGAAACCAUCUGGCUAGAGUCCGGAAGAGGAGAGUGGAAUUCCUGGUGUAGCGGUGAAAUGCGCAGAUAUCAGGAAGAACACCCGUGGCGAAGGCGGCUCUCUGGGACGGUACUGACGCUAAGACGCGAAAGCGUGGGGAGCAAACAGG
rnacentral:rRNA from 1 species